CAAGGCUGCGGCGGCCGUCAGCAACGUACAGCAGCCAUCCAGGAAGGUUGACGUCGCCGCGGUCGGGGCGGAAGGGUGUUGCCGCGAAGCCCUACCGGCCGGUGAUCGUGUGGCAGCACGACAACUUCAUUUGCGAUCAACGUAGAACUUUGCUUGUGGGAUCGUCCACCUGUCCGUUGCGGCGAGGAGAUAUCAAGUAUACCUCUCACCGUCGCUUCCAUGGAUCAACGAGCAUCCUCCAUGGAUGGUGUUCGAGGCCCUAAAGACAUUGCAUCUUCUGCUUUCAUGGAGGAUCCACGUUCACUGCAAAUUGUUGUUGUUGGUGGCGAUGGUGGAGAAGAGGAACAACCAAUAAGACAGAUUGGGUCAAUGGACAAUGAAAUACCUAAUGAGGUAAAAAACAGAGGCCACGGACGGGGAUAUGUUGAAUAUGUUGGAAGUAUAACUGUGCUCCUUUUGAUGUUAAGGAACCUGUCAUUUUUUAUCAGUUCGACAGUUUCUGAAAUAAUGUGAAUCCUGAUGCAACAUCUCAUGUCUUGCACUGUUCUUUGUUAUAAUGGAUCUGCCAUUUUUUCUUCA